rnacentral:rRNA from 1 species
AGCGAACGUUAGCGGCGGGCCUAACACAUGCAAGUCGAACGAGAAUGAGGGCUUCGGCUCUCUAGUAAAGUGGCGGACGGGUGCGUAACACGUGGGGAAUCUACCUUCCAGCGGGGGACAACCGUCCGAAAGGAUGGCUAAUACCGCGUACGUCGGCGAGGGCUCCGGUCCUUGUCGGGAAAGGCGGCCUCUUCUUGAAAGCUGCCACUGGGAUAUGCACCCGCGGCCCAUCAGCUAGUUGGUGAGGUAAUGGCUCACCAAGGCUAAGACGGGUAGCUGGUCUGAGAGGAUGAUCAGCCACACUGGGACUGCGACACGGCCCAGACUCCUACGGGAGGCAGCAGUGGGGAAUAUUGGGCAAUGGGCGAAAGCCUGACCCAGCCACGCCGCGUGAGUGAUGAAGGCCUUCGGGUCGUAAAGCUCUGUGGGGAGGGACGAACAAGCCGUGAGCUAAUACCCACGGUCCUGACGGUACCUCCUUAGCAAGCACCGGCUAACCCUGUGCCAGCAGCCGCAGUAA